rnacentral:rRNA from 1 species
UACGUAGGGGGCUAGCGUUAUCCGGAAUUACUGGGCGUAAAGGGUGCGUAGGUGGUUUCUUAAGUCAGAGGUGAAAGGCUACGGCUCAACCGUAGUAAGCCUUUGAAACUGGGAAACUUGAGUGCAGGAGAGGAGAGUGGAAUUCCUAGUGUAGCGGUGAAAUGCGUAGAUAUUAGGAGGAACACCAGUCGCGAAGGCGGCUCUCUGGACUGUAACUGACACUGAGGCACGAAAGCGUGGGGAGCAAACAGG